UACGGAGGGUGCGAGCGUUAUCCGGAUUUACUGGGUGUAAAGGGAGCGUAGACGGCAAGGCAAGUCUGAUGUGAAAACCCGGGGCUUAACCGCGGGACUGCAUUGGAAACUGUCUUAGCUGGAGUGCCGGAGGGGUAAGCGGAAUUCCUAGUGUAGCGGUGAAAUGCGUAGAUAUUAGGAAGAACACCAGUGGCGAAGGCGGCUUACUGGACGGUAACUGACGUUGAGGCUCGAAAGCGUGGGGAGCAAACAGG
rnacentral:rRNA from 1 species